AGAGGGUGGGUGGAGGGAGGGGAGAGGGAGAAGGGGAGGGGGAGGAGGCAGAAGGGAGUGGGGAGGUGGAAGGAGAGGAGGGAGGUGGGACGGAGCCACCCCAGGGCCCACAGGCCCGCGGGCUCCCUGAAGCCUCCAGACACGGUUUAAAUUUAGCCCUUCUAUUCUGGUUCUUGCAGCUCAGCCUCGCCCCGCAGCCAUACAGCUGGCCAGUUUCCCCAAGCACAACUGCUCCUCCAGACAAGGUAGAGGGCGGAAUGUGUAAGCUUUUCUCCUGGAGAGGGCACCCCCCCCCCCCGUGUCUUCUGGCCCUGUGGAAUUGGGAGGUACAGAGGAAUGGAAGAAACCCACCACCCUAACUCACAUUCGGAACCUGGGGCCCCCAUGUGCGCGCGCUCCACUGACGCCACCCCCAGAAAGGAUCAUGGAGAGGAGGCCACGUGCUCAGCUGAGAUGGGAGCCGACCUAGUCCCGGUUCACUGGCUGGUGGAAACUCAGGCAAGAGAAGGAAUGAUUAAGGGAACAUGCAGGAGGAACAGCAAUGAGACAUCAUCCUAAUUCCGCCUCUGCUGGGGGGACUACCCCGCUCCUUCUGCCCUUGCUGAGUUCCCCGUGCCAGUCUGAGGAAUGCUGAACCAAACCCCUAGACCCUGAGCACCCCCAACCAGCCUGGCCUUUGGACAAGGAGAAGAGGAGCAUUCAUACUGAAGGGAUCCAGAAUCUCUCACUUUUAAUUUGCAUGUUCCCAAGAACUGAACCUAAGAGCAUACAGAAAAAAGUCUUCCUCCCAAACAAUGCCAAGUUCAACCUGGAAGGAGAAACACCGGUGGUGCCACUUUUCAGAUGGAAGGGGACCGGCUGACCCUGACCAUUUGUUAGCAGUCAGGAUGGAUUUGUGCUAAUUUUUCUAUCUGAUCACUGUACGUCCAAGGUCACUAUGAUCUCUGCAACUGAGUUUCUUUCACACAGAGCGAACAGACACUGGAACCAACUUCCUCAGUCUGACUAACAUGCUUCCAGUUAAAAGGCCCACCAGGAAGAGCCCCUGCCCCCAAGCAGCAGGUUCACUGGCCUAAGAGGGCAAAGUGGGCACUUACUCUGGGGGAAAUCACUGUGGUCUGCAGUGCAACCCUUAGCUCUGUGGGCCAGAGGGGAUCCCUUUGGCAAGACUGACUCCCACUAAUCAAACUCACCAAGCACCGAUGUAAAAACCAGAAUGCUCUCUUCCUAUUUUGCCGAGAAGCCUGCUUGGCCCACAAGAUGCUUACGUUGGCAGGUGUGGAUGGUCUCUCUUUCCUGCUGGAUGUGGGGAGCAGCUCUGGAAGGAAGACGAAGCUGGUGAAGUUUGAGGCCAGCGGGACAGGGAGGGAGAGAAGCUUCUCACCACAUUCUCAUUUCGACUUUUAACUAGUGGCCCAUGUGCUCAAAGAACAAUUGGUUUUUAAAAAUCCAUUCGGGGGGCGCCUGGGUGGCUCGGUCGGUUAAGCGUCCGACUGCGGCUCAGGUCAUGAUCUCAUGGUCCGUGAGUUCGAG